AGAAUACAGACUACAUCAAACCUAAGGUAAAACUAUUAAACUUUUGCUAAAUUUAGAAUGAAUCUUUUUAAGAUCUUAAAAGAAUCACAGGGACAAUUGCGUGAUGAUUAUUUUGAUAAAUGUCAGGAUAUAUAAUUGAAGAAUUGGAUAAUUUAUUAGAAAGAAUGUUAGAAGAAAUAAAAAAUAUUAUAUCUCAAUUAAAAAAUAUAAAUUUACCAUUUGAAGAAUAUGACAUUUUAUUAAGAAAAUAUAAUAUGUAUGUUGCCCCUAGCUUAUACCAUUAGUUUUUUUAAGUAUGUUUAUGUCAAAUUUUGGAAAGCCGCAUUGUACAGCCUUAAAAGGGUUACUAAGAUACAUUGCUAGAACUUUAACCACUGGUUUGACAUUUGAAAAGAGGUUUGAAAUUCUAACUUGUGUAGGAUAUGUAGACUUCGCUGGAGAGAAAGAUCAUAGGAAGUCUACUAUUGUCUUCUUCUUUACAUUGUGGGGAAACUAUAUUACCUGGAAAUCUCAGUUACUACCCUAUGUAGCAUUGAGGCAGAACAUAUAGCCAUCACUGAAUCUAUAAAAGAGUACAUGUAGCUGAAAGGAAUCUUAACUGAGUUAAAUUUCUUACUAGAGAUCCCAAUAAUUAUUACUGAUAGCCAAAGUGCUUUAUUAUUGAGUAAGAAUCCCGUGUAUUAUGAGAGCUCAAACAUAUUGAGGUGAAAUAUCACUUCAUAGGAGAAAAUAUAUCUACUUGUGAAGUGAAUCUUAAGAAAAUUCACACUGAUGAAUACCCAUUUGAUGGGCACAUUAAUUUUACCUGUUAAUAAGUUUUGAUCAUGUUAAUUUAUUCUUCAUAUUGAUACAGGUUGAUUUCUCUUGCAAGUACUUUGGGCAAUGAUAUAGGGCCAAGUCCGUUUUAUGUGCAAUCUAGCAUACUAGAGACAGUAGAUAAUUUGAGAACCAAGGUGAAGAUUGUAAAAAACGUGUUUCUCAAAUCAAUACUUUAGUAAGGGCAAAAACAUCAUUUGGAUGUGGAAGGCCCAAGUGGCAACCCCCAAUUGGCUGUUGGUGCUUCACUCGAGUUGUGCUUCUUCAAACAUUAUCCUGGUCGUCCAUUUUUUGAUCACUGGUUGAGAACUAAUAUGAUACAAUUGGUUUGGCAUUUGAGGGGUCAUUUCAAAGGAUGGGAUGCAGUCUUGGUUUUCCAAGUUUUGGGGUUCUUCUAGAGACCUUGAUUCUUCUUCUAUUUUUGGUUUCUGUUUCUUAUGAUUUAACAUUAGAUCUUAAUCGAUCUGAAAGAACCCUGUGAAAUACAUCUUGCUAUAUUAAUUUUAGCCGAUUGUAAGGCUUGUGAUGUGUAUAUUUUGGUUUGGCAGUAGGGUUCUUGGUUUAUUGGUGAUUAAGGUGUGAUUUGUAAGAUCCUUUUGGUUCAAGGAUAAGAUCUAGUGUCUAAUUUUGGUCUCAGUGUAAUCUCUUUGUCUCUUGGAAGGUUAUUUUGCACAUAGUGAACAUGUUAGUCUAUUAGCUCCCUAGAUUAGGCUUUUUCACGGAACUGGGUGAACAAUGGUUUGUGUUUUUAGUGCUUUUGUGCGUG
rnacentral:lncRNA from 1 species